rnacentral:rRNA from 1 species
UACGAGGGGGGCAAGCGUUGUUCGGAAUUAUUGGGCGUAAAGGGCGCGUAGGCGGUUUGACAAGUCUGAUGUGAAAUCUAUGGGCUCAACCCAUAGCCUGCAUUAGAAACUGUCGGGCUUGAGUAUGGGAGAGGUGAGUGGAAUUCCUGGUGUAGCGGUGAAAUGCGUAGAUAUCAGGAGGAACACCGGUGGCGAAAGCGCUCAUCUGGCCCAAUACUGACGCUGAUGCGCGAAAGCUAGGGGAGCAAACGGG